rnacentral:tRNA from 1 species
ACUUAAGUAGUUUAUAAGGAAAAUAUUAGUUUGUGGUACUGAGGAAGGUAGUAUUACCCUUAGGUU